UCGCUUCUAGGAGAUUGAGUGAGUUGU
rnacentral:sRNA from 1 species